UGGGGAAUAUUGGACAAUGGGCGAAAGCCUGAUCCAGCAAUACCGCGUGUGUGAAGAAGGCCUUCGGGUUGUAAAGCACUUUAAGUUGGGAAGAAAAAACUUUACCUAAUACGUGAAGUCUUGACGGUACCGACAGAAUAAGCACCGGCUAACUCUGUGCCAGCAGCCGCGGUAAUACAGAGGGUGCUAGCGUUAAUCGGAUUUACUGGGCGUAAAGCGUGCGUAGGUGGUUUGAUAAGUCGGUUGUGAAAGCCCCGGGCUCAACCUGGGAAUUGCGGCCGAUACUGUCAGACUCGAAAACGGUAGAGGGAGGUGGAACUCCAGGUGUAGCGGUGAAAUGCGUAGAUAUCUGGAAGAACAUCGAUGGCGAAGGCAGCCUCCUGGGCCUGUUUUGACACUGAGGCACGAAAGUGUGGGUAGCAAACA
rnacentral:rRNA from 1 species